AAAAUUCCCAACUCAGUCCAUUAUAUCCCGGUAACUUUGGAAAAUAGAUGUAGUGGCGGUAAGAUUCGUGGAUGCUUGGAGAUUGUGUAUCGGUGAUGAACGGAUUCAAGGAGUCGAGAGUUCGAUUUCGAGGAUGUAGUCGUUUAUUUAUGGUCUUUAUAUGUAUUUUCCGCACUUACUAUGUAAUCCCUUUAUUUUAUAAAUCAUGUUAUGUUUUGUUUUUCAAACAAUGGGAUCCCAUAUCCUUCUUGGUAUUUAUGUAAGUAACUCUUAUUUCUAUAAGUUUUCUAAUAAAAUUAUGGUAUUUUCGCAAA